CCCAGCUCCGGUCAAGGGGCGGGGAGAGGCAACGCUUCAGGUCCGGAAGGAAGCAGAGCACCUCUCCCCAUCUCUGUGACCGGAUUACUGGGUCUGA
rnacentral:SRP_RNA from 1 species